ensembl:misc_RNA Metazoa_SRP Metazoan signal recognition particle RNA
GCUGGGUGUGGUGGUGCACAUCUGUAGUUCCAGCUACUUGGGAGGCUGAGACAGGAGUAUCACUUGAGCCCAGGAAGUGGCUGCAGUGAGCCAUGAGCCUGCCACUGUACUCCAGUUCUGGGCAACAGAGUGAGACCCUGUCUCAA